ensembl:lncRNA
CACAUCCAUGUCACUACCUCUCCCUUUACAAGUGCCACACUAUCAUCUCGUGUUUGUUGGAGGUGAAUAUGUGGAAGGAAAUAAAUUACUGGCAUUGUACAAGUGGCAGUCUUGCUGGUCCUGACAAACUUGCAUCCAGUGUUCUUUCUGUUCCUGUACGAGCAUUUGUGGGACCCACCUGGCACAACCUUCCAACUGAGUGUAUUCUAUGAUUUUAUAUUUGAAAAGACCAUUCAAGAACCUCGUGGACCAUCUUCUUUUUUCAUUCAUGUUCUCACUGGAUUGAUCUAGAUACAGGAGCUGUUGUGGAGAGGGUGACACAAAAGUGAGAGUGCACUACCUGCAGGCAGUUAGCAGAGAGCUGUGAAAAAAAGGGAAAGAGUGUGGGGAUAUGAAAAGGAAAAUUCUCCAGUCCAUCUAAGAAAAGAAAACUCAGUGAGGAAAAAAAAAAAAAAAAAGAAGGAAAAGCAUAAUGGAAGUGAAGUAAACCUUUGAAUAAAUCCAGAAAUGUCAUCUGGACCACCAAGGUGAAAGAAGAGAUCCUGGAUUAACACUUUUCAGCGUCAGCCUGGAAAGAUUCUUUUCAGGCAAUUACUGUUGCCAGAAAGUAAUUCAAUAUUCUGUAAUUUAAACUGAAACUGAACUACAUUUAUUGCUUGGUAUUGCACAACUCUGACGAUGCAAGGAAUAGAAGUUAAUUUUGAAGACUCAUCAAAAGGGCUGCAUCCAUCACCAAAAUCUAUUUCUGAAUCAAAGCCUCCACCAUGGAAAGCUCCAACACCUGCUGGAAAAUGUGCCCUGUGGUACAUAAUAACUAUACGAGAAUCUCAGUCCUGGUCUGAACUGAAAUGGGGACCCCUUCUCUACAUCUUGCUGCACCAAUGUCUCUACAAACUGCUCCACGUGUGAGCUGUGCUCUAGGCCUAGCUCUUAUAUAGGCCUAUUGCUAGCAACACAUAAUAUGGUGCUUGACCAUCCAUAUUUGGAUGGCAGCUGCAACAAAGGCUUCAGGCACUUUUAGGUCAGUGAUGUUGGAUCCUGUCCCCAGAAGGUUCAGAAGCUCCCAAAGCAGAACCCACAGAUGGCUAAACAAACUGCUGCAUCUGUUGUCUCUAUCUGUUAGCUGUACUUGACAGCAACAGGUAUGCAUAGUGCUUGU